rnacentral:rRNA from 1 species
AUUGAACGCUGGCGGCAGGCCUAACACAUGCAAGUCGAACGAGUGGCGGACGGGUGAGUAAUGUCUGGGAAACUGCCCGAUGUAGGGGGAUAACUACUGUAAACGGUAGCUAAUACCGCAUACCAUCUGAUGUGCCCAGAUGGGAUUAGCUUGUAGGUGAGGUAACGGCUCACCUAGGCGACGAUCCCUAGCUGGUCUGAGAGUAUGAACAGCCACACUGGAACGGAGACACGGUCCAGACGCCUACGGUAGGCAGCAGUGGGGAAUAUUGCACAAUGGGCGCAAGCCUGAUGCAGCCAUGACGCGUGUAUGAAGAAGGCCUUCGGGUUGUAAAGUACUUUCAGCGGGGAGGCGUUACCCGCAGAAGAAGCACCGGCUAACUCCGUGCCAGCAGCCGCGGUAAUUC